GUUCGCAGGCGGAAUUUUAAGUCAGUGGUGAAAGCCUAUAGCUCAACUAUAGAACUGCCAYUGAUACUGAUAUUCUUGAGUGUAGAUGAAGUGGGCGGAAUAUGUCAUGUAGCGGUGAAAUGCAUAGAUAUGACAUGGAACACCAAUUGCGAAGGCAGCUCACUAAACUAUUACUGACGCUCAUGAACGAAAGCGAUGGGGAGCGAACAGGAUUAGAUACCCUGGUAGUCCCACUGCAUGUAAACGUAUGAUCACUAGAUGUGGGCGAUACMHUGUCCAGGUCKAAGCGAAAKCGUUAA
rnacentral:rRNA from 1 species